AGAGUAUGAAGCCUCGUACUGGUGUAUUUUGCAUAUCAAUCAAUGAAGCAAGAGAGACGACAGACCUAGAAAUGCCUGACUUGAGAAACACAUUUGUUAUCAAGAUGGCUAAUCCUACCUGAUGGGGCCAUAUGACCUAAUCUGAACUGGGCAUCUCCAGUCCCUCUACUUCACCUUCACCUUACAUCCUAACCCUGCCUGACCUCCUGUACACCCUGCCUGCAAGAUCCGACCCGACCUGCCCUUCAUGUUUGGGACCACUCUUGUGUAGUUUGGCAUUAACCAAGUGAUUGCUAACACUCGAGAAUUUAUCAUUGCCUCUCAUCCAAAGCGGAUAGUGGGAAUGAGUGGGUAGUUGAGGCUCAGGAUCAGGAAGACAUGAAAACAUGGCUUACUACCAUUGUAGCUUAUUGCUGCUCAAAUGAAAAAGAACAG